UGGGGAAUUUUGGACAAUGGGCGAAAGCCUGAUCCAGCAAUGCCGCGUGUGUGAAGAAGGCCUUCGGGUUGUAAAGCACUUUUGUCCGGAAAGAAAUGGCUCUGGUUAAUACCUGGGGUCGAUGACGGUACCGGAAGAAUAAGGACCGGCUAACUACGUGCCAGCAGCCGCGGUAAUACGUAGGGUCCAAGCGUUAAUCGGAAUUACUGGGCGUAAAGCGUGCGCAGGCGGUUGUGCAAGACCGAUGUGAAAUCCCCGAGCUUAACUUGGGAAUUGCAUUGGUGACUGCACGGCUAGAGUGUGUCAGAGGGGGGUAGAAUUCCACGUGUAGCAGUGAAAUGCGUAGAGAUGUGGAGGAAUACCGAUGGCGAAGGCAGCCCCCUGGGAUAACACUGACGCUCAUGCACGAAAGCGUGGGGAGCAAACAGGAUUAGAUACCCCUGGUAGUCCACGCCCCUAAACGAUGUCAACUAGUUGUUGGGGAUUCAUUUCCUUAGUAACGUAGCUAACGCGUGAAGUUGACCGCCUGGGGAGUACGGUCGCAAGAUUAAACUUAAAUGAAUUGACGGGGUCAUAGCUGUUUCCUG
rnacentral:rRNA from 1 species